UUGCAUUUGACCUCAAAUC
rnacentral:rRNA from 1 species